GAUGAAGAACGUAGCGAAAUGCGAUAAGUAGUGUGAAUUGCAGAAUUCAGUGAAUCAUCGAAUCUUUGAACGCACAUUGCGCCCCUCGGUAUUCCGUGGGGCAUGACUGUUCGAGCGUCAUUUAACCCCUCAAGCCUAGCUUGGUAUUGGGUGCUUGUCCCGCCUCUCGCGCGGCGACUCACCUCAAAGUCAUUGGCAGCCCGCAUCUCGCCGGCCGUGAGCGCAGCACAGACGCGCUCUUGGCAACGACGGAUCGGCUCUCCAAAAGCUUAUUUCAACCACUGACCUCGGAUCAGGUAGGGAUACCCGCUGAACUUAAGCAUAUCAAUAAGCGGAGGA
rnacentral:misc_RNA from 1 species